GACAGUGCUCUCUUUUUUUAGAUAGGAAUGUCUAUGCUUCUAUCAUACCUUAGACCGACUAAGGUACGAUAGAGGAAGGUAAUCUCAAGUGUCCCCAAAAAGUAUUUUCUACCGAUGACACAUCAUGAGCAGCAAAUUAUAAUUCUCGCUCAUAUAAAUAUAUAGUUAUAAUAUAUAUCAAUAUAUCACCAAAUAACGAAUUCACGAUCACGAGCCUUGAUAAAGUAGGCAAUGCACUGUUUUAAUUCCAAUCUCAUAACUUCGUAAUUUAUGAAUGCUUCAGAAGUAAAAUUCACAGUGUGAUAUUUUACGAUUGUGACUUGAACGAUAAAGUGUUCAUGAACCAGUUGAUCUUCUCAAAUAUUCAAUUUAAAGUCAAUCUCAGCGCAUUACACAAGCUUCAAAAUGGCAUACAGACCAUCCCAAUUUAAGAACAAAUGAUUGGAAAUCAAAAUGGCGAAUGGAUUAUCUUGAAGUUGUGAAGGAAAUGAACGUCAUAAUGGACUGAGUAUUUCAUAUACUAAAAGAGAAAAAUUGAAAUAGAGGAUAGUAAAAUAUACGAUGCAGUAUCGAAAAUUUAUUUUCUUUUUCCACUUGUCUUUGGCUCGUAUUGUAAACUCAUUUGCGAGAAAUGUUUCUUCUGGCCUACGAUUAUUUACCUUUGGACACUCAAGUUCUACCAACAGCCUGUCUGCAACGAAUUCAAUGUAACGUGACAUCAAUUCACAGUUCAUUCCAAUCAUAGCGACUGGAAGAGCGUCCGUCAAGAAUUCCUGUUCGAUGUGAACUGCAUCUGUAAUUAUGGAGAUCACACGUUCCUUCGAUGGCUUCUGGACAAUGUGCUUAAAGAGGAGGCAGGCAAAAUCACAGUGGAGACCCUGAAAAUUAAUGAUUUAUCAUCAUGUAAUAAAAUGGUGGAAUGAAUUAACUUACAAGUAUAACUUACUUCGUCCCUGGAGAUAAGCUCAUUACUGAAAGUGAGACCAGGCAUGAGUCCACGCUUUUUCAACCAGAAGAUGGCAGCGAAACUACCAGAGAAGAAAAUUCCCUCGACAGCGGCGAAGGCGAUUAGUCUUUCGGCGAACGUUGCAGUUUCGUUUACAAUCCAGUUGAGUGCCCAGUUAGCUUUCUUCGCUACACAGGGGAGAUUCUCAAUCGCGUUGAAUAAAUAUUGUCUAGAAAAUCAAUUUCUAACAAUCAACUUGAAAAUUUAUUAUUGAAAUGGUAAAAUUUCAGUACGUAUGGAUUUCGGGAGAAAAUGAGAAGAAAUUUGUUUUUCUAGCUGGAUCAAUUUUUAACAAAAAUAUGCCUUGGGUGAUUCUAUAUUGAACUACGUCAUUAUUGGAAUAAUAUUUAAUAAAUUAAGCCAGAUAUGGGAAGUCAA